rnacentral:rRNA from 1 species
UAAAAAUAUUAAAAAUUAGGUAAUAACGGAGUUUCUGAAACCUAAAGGACUUGGCGGUAUUUUAAAUAAUUGGAGGAACUUGUUGUUUAAUUGAAGUUACACAACAUAUCUUUCCUUAUUUUUGCUUGUAUAUCAUUGUUUUAAGAUAACAUUUUCUAAUAUAGUCUAAAUCAAGUUUGUUCAAAAAAUCAAAUCAAGGCGCAGCAUAAUAAGGUUAUAAUGAGUUACAAUGAAAUUUAUUCAAAACGGAAAUAAAAAGUAAAAUAUAUUGAAGGUGGAUUCAAAAAUAAUAAAAAAUCAAAAAGUUUUUAUGAAUAAUAAUUUAAAAUAUGC